CGACCACCUUCUUCCCCAUCGCAGGCCCCUCCCCUUCACCUUACCCACCUUCUACCGCGGCGGCGCACCCACCCAAGCCGCCGCCCCACCUUCCCUGGCGCGGCGCACCCACUUGAGCCACCCCCCACACUCCCCACCUUCUUUGGUCCGGCUCGCUGUCGGCCAGAGCGCCACCUUCCUUGGCCAGAUCCGUGGUGCCACCCCGAUGGCCUCAACCUCCCUCCCCGAUGGAUCCCGCCUCGCUGCCGCCAUCGAGAUCCCGCUCAAUCCCACCGAACCACCGGAUCGGCACCAGGAUCCGGCCAUGUUUGACCAAAUCUGCCUCGAUCCGUGAUCGUGUGGAAGUAAAAGGGGCUCGCCGGAGCUACCUCCUCGCGACAGAUGGUAGCCUGGCGCCCCACGUACGUCCUCGGCCCAUGGUCGACGUGCUCCUCCUCCUUGCUCACCAGGUGACCCCGUCCUCCUCUGCUCCUAUAGGCACCAGGCCGGCCCCGCCCUCCUCAUGCGCUGGAACCCCAAUUCCUCUUCUGCUUCCGUCGAUCUGCAGUGUUGGCGAACUGGAGUCUGGUGGCGCGUGGCGUGCGGUCCAGUGUGCUCGGCUUUGCAGUUUUUUCUCUCGUCCCCAACGGUGACCGCCCCUCUCCAGCUCCUCUAAUCUCCCGCCGUGCCUCCCCUCCCCCAACACAUCACAUCGCUGCUUCUCGAAGCCCCGACGCGCCACCACCCGCUUUUCCAAAGGAUCCGCCGAAUCCGGGAUCCCGAUGCGGUGGUGCGCACCAUGACGGUCGGGGAUGCUCAAGGCUGGAUCCAGGCGGCCCGGUGCCCCGCGGGAGGAGGCAAGAAGGGAUCAAGAAUAGUCCAGCUCGGGGUGCACCGCAGUACACUGCCCGUCCGCGUGCAGUGCGGGAGUGCAUGUGAAGCCCCCAGGUUGGCCUGCAUCUGACCCCGCACCCUCCUAUUUUCGUUUUCUGCAUCAAGGUCACUGGAUCCAGAGCCUCUGGACUCUGGUGGUGGUUAGUCGGCACGGCAUGCAGUUUGGUUACAUUCAGAAAAAAAUGGGCCGGCAUCGCUGCCCUGGAGCCUCGCCGACCUUGCUUCGACCGGAGGCAUUGCAGGCGAUCCGCCUUGCUUCCCGCUGUGACCUUCGACACUGGAUGGAAAGGGAGGUGCUCCACCUUGCGUCUCCCGGCCAGAUCCAUCACAAGCACCCAGGAGGCCACCUACCUUCCUCUCUCAAGCUUCUCUGCAGCUAAGCAUAGAGAGCGCCUCCCGGGUGAGCACCGGCUCAGGUCGUGGGAUCUAAACUCCUCCCUCUGUCAUGGAUACACGGUGGGGCAGCACGGUGAUGCAGUCCAGCAUGCACGCCCGUGCAACACAGUUGUGGCGGCGAGGCAUCUCGUGUAGUCUCUUCAACUAGUGGCGCUUCAGUUUGCGCGGAGCUCGGCGUCUCAUUUUCGAUGCAGCCUCGACUACCCCCACUCUGAUGCGGGCUUGUGCGAUGACUUGUUUGUCAGUACAACCCAUAAGUGCCUCAGGUGGUGUGAUUUUGGUCACCAGUCAAUUGCUCUUUAAUUCGAUGCACGCUCAGUUCAAUUUUUAGUUUUGUGAAAGAAAAUUUCAUCUAUUCUCUACUCUUGUGUUUCAUGUGUUGCUGUUCGCCAAUGUGUAUGGUUGUCCGUUCACUUGUUGCUAUUAGUGGAUGAGCAGAAAAAAGAUCGAAGGAUUCCGGCAACUGCGACUCUGCACAUGGGCGUCUAGUAUUGCCAACAGGGAGAGUGCAGCUUCACCAAUGGGAGCGUGCAGUUCGGCCCAUGGCGUCGACGGCUUUCCAGCAAACGCGCGUGUGCAUGGGCAAGUUCCCUUGGACUCUGCACAUGUUGACAAUUUUUUAUGAGGGGUUCACUGUGUAUGUUGGAGAUGUUCACUCCUCAGUGGUCUUUAAACUCUUGUUUUUUUAAGUCCGAUCCAGUGCAAUUCUAUAUGUACGUUGGAGAGGUUCAUUUUCAUGAGAAAAAGGUUGAUGCAGCCCACAUUGAGGAGUACAGUGGUCCACUUCAGUCAAAUGUAUCUAUUUUUGUAAAAGAGGAUGUAGUCCAUUCAGGCACCGCUUGCGGUUUGUGCGGCUCGUCUAUGAAGUUCCUUUUUGUAUUAUAUAUUUUUAGGGUUAUUUCCUGAAAGAAAUGAUGAAGGUUUGCUAGUUGAUGAA